AUCCACAGUCAGCUGGCCGUUUUCUCGGCUCAGUUUGCAGCCAGUAGCAGCAGCGACACUCUGCUGGAGCUAAAGGCUGAAGACUCGCUCCGUGCAGAAACGGAGAAGAACAAAUCCAAGAUGGCUGUGUGUAUUCUGAAUCGAAAGAGGUAUAGCCUUUACCCUCUGACCUUACAACCUGCUGACCACUUCCGUACACAACACUGAAGACGUCUCAAAGUGCACUACAUCAGUCCCACGGGGUGCUGAACAACGACAGAGAGCAAAGACAACAAAAAAAAAACUCAGAAAAAUAAUGUACACUUUGCAGUGAAUAUACAUCUGGGCAUCACUGUCAAGCCUCUGCCUCCCUCCUGU